rnacentral:rRNA from 1 species
UACGUAGGUGGCAAGCGUUGUCCGGAUUUACUGGGCGUAAAGGGCGUGCAGGCGGUUUGUUAAGUGCAGGGUGAAAGCUCCCGGCUCAACUGGGGGAGGUCCUUGCAUACUGGCAAACUCGAGGGAGGCAGAGGAAAGUGGAAUUCCCGGUGUAGUGGUGAUAUGCGUAGAUAUCGGGAGGAACACCUGUGGCGAAGGCGGCUUUCUGGGCCUUACCUGACGCUGAGACGCGAAAGCGUGGGGAGCGAACCGG